GGUUAAUAACUCAGCCCGGUAGAGUGCCAUCCUUACAAGCUGGAGGCCGUAGGUUCGAAUCCUGCUUAACCCA
rnacentral:tRNA from 1 species